CUUUGCGUUGUGCUACGGAGCAAAUUUUACAUUCCAUUCCGAGCGAAUUGAAUUUGAAAGCACCAGCCGGAAUGGCACGUACGAAAUGGCAGGCCCGGGGCUGCAUUGAAUCCCAAAUUAGAAUGAAAGACUGCAGUGCUAAAUUUUACUCAAAACUUGACUUCCAAGGAUCACUAUGAGAAAGUCCACCUCUAAGAUAGGAAUAUCGCCAAAGAAAUUUUAUGGUGUGGUAACCUCCGGGUUAGAUCCGUGAAAGAUGUGAUGUCUUAAUCGGCUAAAAGACGGACAGUCUCAGAUGUUUCUCAAGGGUUUCUCAAGUGUUUCUCAAGUGUUUCUCAAGUGUUUCUCA